rnacentral:rRNA from 1 species
AAACUAAAGAGUUUGAUCCUGGCUCAGAUUGAACGCUGGCGGCAUGCCUUACACAUGCAAGUCGAACGGUAGAGUAGCAAUACUCGAGAGUGGCGAACGGGUGAGUAAUAUAUCGGAACGUGCCCAGUCGUGGGGGAUAACGUAGAG